UUUCCAUGGUUAAAAAGAAUUCAACUGGAUUAAAACUGAGAAAAGACGUGAAAAGGUGUUUGUUUACAAACUGAGUAAUCUUCAUCUUAAAUAAAUCAGUUAUUAAAAAUGAAGAAUGCAAACAUUUGUUUGUUUUUGGCCUGCUGAAAGGAUGGCGGUAUCUUCGUAUAACACACUGAAGAUGGCGGAAAGUCUGAAAGGCCAAAACAUGGAGGAAGGAUCAUCCGUCGCAAACUUCAAAAAGAAAUCUCAACAACUUAAUAAAAAUCUGCAUUUUCCAGCUAUUCUUUUAAACGACCUUUAAAACAACAAUAAAAUGAGUUUGAAGUUA